rnacentral:sRNA from 1 species
UGGUCAGCACCCCUGCACCAAACCCAGAUGCAAGCCAACUGGCUUCAAGCUCAUCUAGCCAGAAAGAGGUAGCAACAGAAGAUGUGACAAGGCUGCCCUCUCCUACAUCCCCCUUCUCAUCUCUUUCCCAAGACCAGGCUGCCACUUCUAAAGCCACAUUGUCUUCCACAUCUGGUCUUGAUUUAAUGUCUGAAUCUGGAGAAGGGGAAAUCUCCCCACAAAGGGAAGUCUCAAGAUCCCAGGAUCAGUUCAGUGAUAUGAGAAUCAGCAUAAACCAGACGCCUGGGAAGAGUCUUGACUUUGGGUUUACAAUAAAAUGGGAUAUUCCUGGGAUCUUCGUAGCAUCAGUUGAAGCAGGUAGCCCAGCAGAAUUUUCUCAGCUACAAGUAGAUGAUGAAAUUAUUGCUAUUAACAACAUCAAGUUUUCAUAUAACGAUUCAAAAGAGUGGGAGGAAGCCAUGGCUAAGGCUCAAGAAACCGGACACCUAGUGAUGGAUGUGAGGCGCUAUGGAAGGGCUGACUGGGGCAAAGACCAACCUUCCCUGCCAUUUAUACGGCAUAAAACCCUCAAUCUCACCAGUAUGGCUACCAAAAUUAUAGGUUCACCUGAAACAAAGUGGAUUGAUGCAACUUCUGGAAUUUACAACUCAGAAAAAUCUUCAAAUCUAUCUGUAACAACUGAUAUCUCCGAAAGCCUUCAGAGUUCUAAUAUUGAAUCCAAAGAAAUCAAUGGAAUUCAUGAUGAAAGCAAUGCUUUUGAAUCAAAAGCAUCUGAAUCCAUUUCUUUGAAAAACUUAAAAAGGCGAUCACAAUUUUUUGAACAAGGUAAACCACAAAGCCAACAAUUCAUGCACUUUCAUGGAAUUGUUCUCCCUCUCCACUCUUCCUCAUGGUCUGUGAUGCUGGGCACUGAGCCUCUUCAAUUUGUCUGUCAUUAUGACCAAGUGACAUAACCCAUUUCCAUUCUUUCCCUAGGGUCAUCAGGCUUUUCUUACAGUUCAUGGGUCUACCUCUGUGGUAAUGGGUCUUUGUGUGUCCUUUGUAUACCUCUAAACAUUUUACUUUUUUUUUUUUUUAACUUUG